rnacentral:lncRNA from 10 species
GUUCUUAGGAUUCAUGCACUACAUUUACCCAUGUUUCUGGUACUUUGAAUUGUGUCACUGGAGAAGCUGUCUGAUUCUCUGAACAUGACGCAAGCCUUGCUGUCACCACCACCGUGAAGGUCAGAUACAGCACCCAAGACUUUAAGAGGUCUGAAAUGUUUCUGUCCAGGCCCUUGCGCCUCUGCCACCGCUGUGAGAAGUACAUAUCCUGGCCAGCCUGCUGACUCAGGAGGUUGAGAAUCAGGUGCAGCAGACCAGAGCACUGCUUCAGUGUCAGGGUAGAGCUGCUCCAUGACCCAGAGAUUCAUACGAGCCAUCCCACCACACUCGUCCCACCUGGCUUGUGUCAAUGUUCCAUUACUGUUCACCGGCUGCCCACGCACCUCCAGCUCCACAUCUGUGUCCUAGAGUGCAUGAAAGAAGCUGGAGAAAAAUCACCAUGGAGUUUAUCCUGGUUUUGCCUCUCAUGGAAAGAAGAGAGACAACUGAAGCCUCAAUCCAGGUAAAGAAGCAUUCUUGCAAGCCCAUCCAUGUAAAGUGUAUGAAAAGUGGGCCUUUUCCCUGAAAUUAUCCAGAUCCUGAUUUCAUUUACAUUUUGUUUUAUGAUUUUGGGGAAAUUCCAUCAGUAACCUAACAGGUUUAUUUCCUAUCUUUAGGAAAUAAAUAUACAGAUAGUAAAUUGUGCAGUUCGUAUCUGCAGAGCUUUCAUUCUUGGUCAUCUUUUUAUAACAUCUUAUCAAAGAUAACUGCAACAAACAGGUCUGGGGACAAGAACAGGGAAGCACAAGACCAGUUUCAUUGCAGCUAUAAAAAUAACCCUUUGUUUCCCAUUGUACUUUACAAGCAGGCGGCACUCUGCGUGUCCUGGAAAGGUUGGGUCUGCUGACCUUGGAGGGUUUUUUAUGAUCAGUAAGGAGCAGGGACAUAUGGCCCCAGGUGAAACCUUGGGUGAGUUGGGCCGUCCAUACAAGGCUCAUGAGACAAGUCAUCUCACUUGGGCCUUUCAGGGUCCGGUGAAAUGAGUAUAAUCCCCUCACUUUACAGACCAACAAACUGAGGUUCAAAGAGGCUAAUAAACUGGCCCAACGAUGUACAAUGAGUAAGUAAGUGGUUAUGUCACUUCACAUGUUUAGCCUUUCCCAGUCUCAUCUGUCAAAGGGUCUGUAAGAUUCUCUUCAAAACUCGCACAACCCCACCCCUCUGGGAAGGCACCAGAAAGCCUGAGCCAGCUCUCCUGGGAGGCUGCAGGGCAGUGAGUGUGCCUGCAUCCAGUGGCAGCAGUGCACACAGGGAGCGAGCAGCACCAGGCACUUCUCCCUCCAUGGCAGGGUCUACACGUCCCCCAGUGCACAUCUCAAGCUCAUACGAUACACUCUGCCAAGUCCAUUUUGAAUUCCAUGGCCUGAAUCAUUAACUUUCAAAGCCAAAGCAUUUAAAAGAUAAAAUUAUCCUCUUGGCACUCCUCAAACUGUGCUCUUGACCUCUUCUGUUAGGCUACAGUUUUGUUUCUGGCUGUGCAAAUGUCACAUAAUGCCACUGCACCCGGCAGUAUCUUCUUCAUAGCAACAGAUCAUAAUAAAAGUCCCUCGGAGGCUGUUUGUGUUUCACAUACACAUGGAAUGAAAGAAAAAUGCAGUGUGCUAUAUAAAGCGAGAGAAAUGCAUAAGCUUCAUCUUUCAUUUGCAGCCAAUUGGUUUUAAUAAGCUUUUAUGCUGAGAGGUGAAUAAUUAGCAUAUGUUCUUAAUUAAGAUUGUUCUAGAGCAGUAGAGUGCUCCAGGUCGUUAAAAAUGGUUUUGUGUCUCAAUGUCUUAAUUCUCUUAUCUUCUCAUCAGUCAAAAUACUUACAAGAAAUGAGAAUGUUUAGAUUUUUGUAUUUGCAUAAAUAAAUACUAGAAGGAAAAAUAAGGAAUUCAUUAAAACGGUUAUCAGUAUUGACGGUAGAUGCAGGGUAAAGGGGAAGGAAUGGGAGCAGGAUUUCCUUAUGUAUAAUUUUAAUUUUAUUUUGACUUUAGAAACAGGUAAAUGUAUUACCUGCUUCAAACUGAUGGAUGGACAGACAGAAAGAGCAGCAAACCAACAAGCCUCCAGCUCUCAGGCCUCUCACCUCUGGCCUUGCAUUUUCUUAAGUGUGGGUCAGCGUUAUAAGGAAAUCAGACAAAAAUACAGGUGAAUGUGUGCAAAUGUACCCCAGUGUUUUAAGGGGGGGCCUUCACAAAACAAGCCUCAGGGAAUGUAGUGAUGUGGUCUGUGUGUGAGACAUCACCAUGUAGGCUGAGCUCACAUUACUGCUUGUGUAAUGAGCUACAAGUCAGUCUUUUUUUUUUUUUUUUUUUUUUUUUUUUUUUAGGAGAUGGAGUUUUGCUCUGUCACCCAGGCUGGAGGGCAAUGACACCACCAUAGCUCACUGGAGCCUGGAGCUCCUGGGCUCACAUGAUCCUCCCACCUCAGCCUCCCAGGUAGCUGGGACUACAGCCACACACCACUGUGGUGGGCUCACAGCUCUCAGUAAAUUAUGGAGACUACUGCAAAAUUCAAUAAAUGCUCGCACCGGAAAGGACAGUGGAAAAUCCCAAACUUUUAAAGCUUGCCCAGGAAUAGGAAAGCUUUCUUCCAGGCGGUUAGUCCCAUGGCUUACCCACUAGGUCCCAUUCUCCAUUGGGGAUAUAGCCACUGAUAUCUGCCUCCUGCAUCUGCAGAUCCAAGGACCAGCCUCCGUAAGACCAGGACCCAAACUUCAGUUUGCAGUGCUGCACAUCAAAGGGAAACCAGCGUACAUCGAUGUAGCAGGAACUCUUGAAUAUGCCUGUGUGGGUGAUGGAAACAGAAGACUGAAACGGAAGCUGACUGAGAUGUGCUGAAAAUACACAGCAGUUCCUUCAGCCGGUUCCGCCCUCCGCACUGCAGCUAACACAGUCCAGAGCAAAUGGAAUCUGUCUUUUUAUUUAUUCGCAAAAUCUGUAAAACAGAAUCUCAGCUAAGCUUCACUGUCUUUUAAAAUCCAAACGUAACACUGACAUGCUCUCUCAAAGACUGUUUUGUGGGCUUUUUGUGCAAAAAGUUAGCUCUAUAAUCUGCAUUUACCAUGAGCAUCUUCAGACUCUAAAUAAUAAAAGUAAAGAAUGCAAAAUAUCUCAGAGAAGUUGAUAACCCUGAUGAUGAAGUUAGAAAUAGAAUCUAAAAGGUGUGUGUGUGUGUGUGUGUGUGUGUGUCUGUUUGGUGCGGGGUGAGGUAGGCAUUUUCUUUAGGUUAAAAAUGGGAAGAACACAUGAUUAUCGAGAAAUACAAUCUAGAAUUCUGGUUAAAGCUAGAAUUUUAACUAAUUUAAAUUCUAGAUGAAGAACAGAACAAGCUGGGCACAGUGUCUCAUGCCCGUAAUCCCAGUGACUCUAAGACAUUGACGUGGGAGGGUCACUUGAGACUAGGAGUUUGAGACCGGACUGGGCAACAUAGUGAGACAUCUCUAAUAAAAAAAAUUAGCUGGGUGAGGUGAUGCAUGCCUGUAGUCCCAGCUACUCAGAAGGCUAAGGCAGGAGCAUUGCUUGAGCCCAGGAGUUUGAGGCUAAAGUGAAGUGAGCUAUGAUCGAGCCCCUGCACUCCAGCCUGGGGAACACACCUAGAAUCUGUCUGUAAGAAAAAAAGUUAAAACAAACAAACAAACAAACAAACAAACAAAAACAAGAACAGAUAGAUAGGUUUAAGCUGAAGAGAUGGUGCUUGAAGGAAGAGUUUCCGCUGAAAAGAGCUAUUCCAGGCUAGGACAGGUUGGAAGUGGAUUUCCCAGAGGGCCAAGGGGAGGAAACCAGAUAGAGGCCACUCCAGUUAUUUACACUCAUGUGCUCUUCCCUGCCCAGAGGAAGGCUGCAUGGCACAAGAAGACAGGCACAGACUCGGUGUCCAGGUGUUCCUGGGGCAGGGCUGGCACUCUGCAAACUUCUGUUACUGAGUUACAGAAAGAGUGCACGCAGGAAGGGCCUCCACAGCCUUGCACACAAGGACCCCACCCCACAACCGAGUUGGGAAAAGAUACACAUUUUGUCCCCUGAAGUUCCUUUAAGUAUGCUUUGCGUCCUUACAUGAAAUGUUUAUAGGAAUCUGGAAUCAUCACAGACAAUCCCCCUCCAUUAAUAGUUGGAUCCCCCCAAAACCCACCUUGUCUGCCAGUUAGUUGGAAAGCUUUGUAACUUCAUGAGCCCAUUUCUACGAAAUAAUGGCCCGAGACAGACAGAGAAUUUCUAGAGACAGAAAGCAGAUCAGUGGUUGCUGGGAGUAGGAAUGGGAAUUAACUGCAAACAAGCAAAAGGGAUCUUUGUGGGGUGAUGGGAAUGUUCUAAAACUAGACUGUGGUAAUGGUUGCAUAAGUCUGUAAAUAUACUAAAAGUUGUUGAAUCAUGUACUUAAAAUGCAUGAUAUGUAAAUUCUCUCUCAAUAAAGCUGUUAAAAAAUAAACACAUGAAAUGGGGGGGAAAGUCAUGUUAUGGUCAAGUCUCUAUUUCAAAGCUUGAACUCAAAACAUUCUUUCCUAUCCAUGCCCCUCUAACUACAGACAGGGCAGCAUCCUGGGACUCGUUCUACACUCCCAGGGAGCAGGCAGGGGUUUCCCAAUCCAGGCGGCCCUGGGCCUUUCCUGCCAGCGUAAGGAAGCCCC